rnacentral:rRNA from 1 species
GUCGAGCGGACAGAAGGGAGCUUGCUCCCGGAUGUUASGCGGCGGACGGGGUGAGYAACACGUGGGUAACCUGCCUGUAAGACUGGGAUAACUCCGGGAAACCGGAGCUAAUACCGGAUAGUUCCUUGAAACCGCAUGGUUCAAGGAUGAAAGACGGUUUCGGCUGUCACUUACAGAUGGACCCGCGGCGCAUUAGCUAGUUGGUGAGGUAACGGCUCACCAAGGCGACGAUGCGUAGCCGACCUGAGAGGGUGAUCGGCCACACUGGGACUGAGACACGGCCCAGACUCCUACGGGAGGCAGCAGUAGGGAAUCUUCCGCAAUGGACGAAAGUCUGACGGAGCAACGCCGCGUGAGUGAUGAAAGGUUUUCGGAUCGUAAAGCCUCUGUUUGUUAGGGGAAGAACAAGUGCAAGAAGUAACUGCCUUGCCACCUUGNACGGGUACCUUAACCCAGAAAAGCCCACGGGCUUAACUUACG